AUUGAACGCUGGCGGCAUGCCUUACACAUGCAAGUCGAACGGCAGCACGGGAGCAAUCCUGGUGGCGAGUGGCGAACGGGUGAGUAAUAUAUCGGAACGUGCCCAGUCGUGGGGGAUAACGUAGCGAAAGCUACGCUAAUACCGCAUACGAUCUAUGGAUGAAAGCGGGGGAUCGCAAGACCUCGCGCGAUUGGAGCGGCCGAUAUCAGAUUAGGUAGUUGGUGAGGUAAAGGCUCACCAAGCCGACGGUCUGUAGCUGGUCUGAGAGGACGACCAGACACACUGGGACUGAGACACGGCCCAGACUCCUACGGGAGGCAGCAGUGGGGAAUUUUGGACAAUGGGCGCAAGCCUGAUCCAGCAAUGCCGCGUGCAGGAUGAAGGCCUUCGGGUUGUAAACUGCUUUUGUACGGAACGAAACGGCGAGCUCUAAUACAGUUUGCUAAUGACGGUACCGUAAGAAUAAGCACCGGCUAACUACGUGCCAGCCGCCGCCGUAAGAC
rnacentral:rRNA from 1 species